rnacentral:rRNA from 1 species
AUUGAACGCUGGCGGCAUGCCUUACACAUGCAAGUCGAACGGCAGCACGGGGGCAACCCUGGUGGCGAGUGGCGAACGGGUGAGUAAUACAUCGGAAUGUACCCAGUAGUGGGGGGGUAACUAGUCGAAAGAUUAGCUAAUACCGCAUACGCACUAUGGUGGAAAGCGGGGGAUCGCAAGACCUCGCGCUAUUGGAGCAGCCGAUGUCCGAUUAGGUAGUUGGUGGGGGUAAAGGCCUACCAAGCCUGCGAUCGGUAACUGGUCUGAGAGGACGACCAGUCACACUGGGACUGAGACACGGCCCAGACUCCUACGGGAGGCAGCAGUGGGGAAUUUUGGACAAUGGGGGAACCCUGAUCCAGCAAUGCCGCGUGUGUGACGAAGGCCUUCGGGUUGGUUAAAG